rnacentral:rRNA from 1 species
UACGGGGGGAGCAAGCGUUGUUCGGAUUUACUGGGCGUAAAGGGCGCGUAGGCGGCCACCGCAAGUCAGUUGUGAAAUCUCUGGGCUUAACCCAGAAAGGUCAACUGAUACUGCGGGGCUAGAGUGCAGAAGGGGCAACUGGAAUUCUCGGUGUAGCGGUGAAAUGCGUAGAUAUCGAGAGGAACACCUGCGGCGAAGGCGGGUUGCUGGGCUGACACUGACGCUGAGGAGCGAAAGCGUGGGUAGCGAACAGG